AAGAUUUUAAGUUAAAUAAACUAAUAAUUUUCAAAAUUAUUCAUAUAGAAACUUUUUUCUUUAAGUCUUA
rnacentral:tRNA from 1 species